rnacentral:rRNA from 1 species
GAUGAACGCUGGCGGCGUGCCUAAUACAUGCAAGUCGAGCGAACAGACGAGGAGCUUGCUCCUCUGACGUUAGCGGCGGACGGGUGAGUAACACGUGGAUAACCUACCUAUAAGACUGGGAUAACUUCGGGAAACCGGAGCUAAUACCGGAUAAUAUAUUGAACCGCAUGGUUCAAUAGUGAAAGACGGUUUUGCUGUCACUUAUAGAUGGAUCCGCGCCGCAUUAGCUAGUUGGUAAGGUAACGGCUUACCAAGGCGACGAUGCGUAGCCGACCUGAGGGGGGGUCCGCCACCCUGGGACCUGAGACCGGUCCCAGCCCCCUAGGGGGGGCGGCGGGGGGAAAUUUUCCGAAUGGGGGGAAACCCUGACGAGGCAACGCCGGGGGAGGGAGAAAGGUUUGGGGUUCUAAAACCUUUGUUUUCGGGAAAAAAAAAAUUUGUAAAAAACUAGGCGCGUUUGACCGGACCCUAAGAAGAAAGCCACGGUAAAUUCGGG